GAUGAACGCUGGCGGCGUGCUUAACACAUGCAAGUCGAACGGUGAAGGCGGAGCUUGCUCUGCUGGAUCAGUGGCGAACGGGUGAGUAACACGUGAGCAAUCUGCCCCUGACUCUGGGAUAAGCGCUGGAAACGGCGUCUAAUACUGGAUACGAGCUGCGAAGGCAUCUUCAGCAGCUGGAAAGAACUUCGGUCAGGGAUGAGCUCGCGGCCUAUCAGCUUGUUGGUGAGGUAACGGCUCACCAAGGCGUCGACGGGUAGCCGGCCUGAGGGUGACCGGCCACACUGGGACUGAGACACGGCCCAGACUCCUACGGGAGGCAGCAGUGGGGAAUAUUGCACAAUGGGCGAAAGCCUGAUGCAGCAACGCCGCGUGAGGGACGACGGCCUUCGGGUUGUAAACCUCUUUUAGCAGGGAAGAAGCGAAAGUGACGGUACCUGCAGAAAAAGCGCCGGCUAACUACGUG
rnacentral:rRNA from 1 species